UUGAAUACCUGGUACUGAUGCUGGCCUCCUGGGGCAUGUGCUCGUCCAUCUAUUUACCUUCUCUUGUGCACAUCUUGUAGUCUUGGAAAAGUGAACCUCUCGCAGCAAUGCGGUUUGGGGGAAUGGGCUCUCUGGGUCCUUCCUCUGCUUGCUUUCUUCAAGGCUAUGUUUUCAUAUACACUAUAAAGUUACAGAAUGUCUUUUAACGAUUGUGCUUGUCGCAGUCAUUAAACCUAUA
rnacentral:misc_RNA from 1 species